UCUGUGGUGGUCCAGUGGUUAAGACUCUGUGCUUCUAAUGCAGGAGGCCCAAGUUCGAUCUCUGGUCAGGGAA
rfam:TPA: Bos taurus chromosome 13, whole genome shotgun sequence.